ensembl:lncRNA
GUGGCUGAAGUAGUUAUUGCAGCUCGAUCCUGCUUCCUUGUGGCUAUGCGGGGGAUAUCACGAUUACGAAGUUGAGAGCAACGUGAUACAUCCAACCGGUCAUCGAGGCAACGUCCUCGCUAGUGUUGGGGGCCAAAUCGAUGGCGACCACGCUGUGCAGUGGAUCGAGCGGAACAGUACCUACCACCUUCUGUGCCUUCUGUUGAAAGGGUCUCCCGAAGCUGGAAUGGAAGAUGGAUCUCCGAAACCUCUUCUCCAUCUGAAUGAGAACGACUCUGGACACGACGUGAAUCUGGAGGACUCAGAAACUGCUUCUGAACAACCACAAGGAUCAACUGCUGUCAUGUGCAUUAAAAGGUCCCAUAUUAUACCACAAGUUGUGUGUGAUCAUCCAUUCCGUGUGCUGGAUAGAUGAGCAUGGUGGUAUAAUAUGUCCCCUUUAUGCUAUCGAGUACUGAAAAAAGAUGUACACUUCAGUUGCCAACUUGAAUAAUGAACACAACUUUUGCAGUGGUCAGUGAAAUUAAAACCCAGCCAAAAGGGAAUCAUCAUUCAGGGGAAAUGAUUCACAUCUUUUUUUAGUUGUGUUUUUGGUUAUUUGAAGCAAAACUGAAGAUUUUACAAUAAAGAUACGAUAGCUUUUUGUCUUUGUGGAG